GUGGAUUAGUGGCGAACGGGUGAGUAACACGUGGGCAAUCUGCCCUUCACUCUGGGACAAGCCCUGGAAACGGGGUCUAAUACCGGAUACGAGUUCAGGAGGCAUCUUCUGGACUGGAAAGCUCCGGCGGUGAAGGAUGAGCCCGCGGCCUAUCAGCUUGUUGGUGGGGUAACGGCCCACCAAGGCGACGACGGGUAGCCGGCCUGAGAGGGCGACCGGCCACACUGGGACUGAGACACGGCCCAGACUCCUACGGGAGGCAGCAGUGGGGAAUAUUGCACAAUGGGCGAAAGCCUGAUGCAGCGACGCCGCGUGAGGGAUGACGGCCUUCGGGUUGUAAACCUCUUUCAGCAGGGAAGAAGCGAAAGUGACGGUACCUGCAGAAGAAGCGCCGGCUAACUACGUGCCAGCAGCCGCGGUAAUACGUAGGGCGCAAGCGUUGUCCGGAAUUAUUGGGCGUAAAGAGCUCGUAGGCGGCUUGUCACGUCGGGUGUGAAAGCCCGGGGCUUAACCCCGGGUCUGCAUCCGAUACGGGCAGGCUAGAGUGUGGUAGGGGAGAUCGGAAUUCCUGGUGUAGCGGUG
rnacentral:rRNA from 2 species